CGCACACAUACACACCCCCCACACACUCACACACACACUCAUACACAUGCACACACAGACACACACAGACACACACACACUUAUGUACCCCAACACACACACACACACACACUCAUACACACUCAUACACACACACACACACAUCUUUCAAAGUUUAUUUUUAAAAAUAAACUUGACUAUCUUGAAAGGAGACUGUUGCUAAGUUUGGGCCAACAACCAGUAAGAACCACAAACUAUGAAUUUCAAAAUAAACACGAAGCUCAUUUUAAACAUUUAUUACUACUUUUCCCUUACUCUGCCAAGGACUUGAAAUGUGAUGAUUUUCACUCACUUCCUAGAUUCUGUCUUUCAAAAUACUACAUUUCUCCAAAGUAGCAAAGGUAUGGCUUUCUUGACUUGAGUCAAAGCAACAAGACAAUGAGAACUUUAAUCCACACCAAGUGGCUGGCAGGUGGCUGAAGGGUCCUUCAAUCAUUUCAGAAGAGUGGCUUUUCUUUCUUCCUUUGUUGUUUCAAGGAACAUUUUCCAAGGCAUCACACAAAAAGGCAGGUUUCUCAUUACAGUGGCCCUGCAGCAUGGGCUGUGUGGAUGGGAUUCCCUAAUCCUACUAAUUACGUUACCAUAUGUUGCUGUCUGCUUUGUUCUGUUGCUCUAAUGGGACAUAGAUUUCUUAGUUUAACUUUGUUACUUGGUUAUUGCAUUUUUCAAGUGACUGAAACACGUAUGUGCCCCUUUAUUUGAUUUUGAGAAUAUACUGUCUAAAAACUUGACAGGUCAAUGAGAUUAAAUAGGAAUUGUCUGUUCUACUGAACAGAUUAAAGUUUACAUUGGAAAUAGAUGAUAACUAAAUUAAUUUUUAAAUGUUUUUUGUUGAAUGGACAGGGAAAAAAUUAAAAAUUAGACAUUGAUAUUAAAUUAUCUCAAACUGUAUCUGUAUAAAUAAUUAAGAUAAUAUUUCAAAGAAAAUAUAGUCAUCCAAGUCACUUUCUUUGUUUAUAUAAUGUGAAAUUUAGGUACGUGUCUAUUGAGAAAUAGGAAUGUGUCUAUGUAUUGGACUCAUGCAUUUAAAUAUACAAAAGUACAUGUGAAAUGUUUUACAAGAGUAGAGUAAAAAUAAAACCUUUUUAAAGAAAG
rnacentral:lncRNA from 1 species